rnacentral:rRNA from 1 species
CACGUAGGGUGCAAGCGUUGUCCGGAAUUAUUGGGCGUAAAGAGCUCGUAGGCGGUCUGUCGCGUCUGCUGUGAAAACUCAGGGCUUAACCCUGAGCUUGCAGUGGGUACGGGCAGACUAGAGUGCGGUAGGGGAGACUGGAAUUCCUGGUGUAGCGGUGAAAUGCGCAGAUAUCAGGAGGAACACCGGUGGCGAAGGCGGCAUCCUGGACCGGCAUUGACGCUGAUG